UACGUAGGGUGCAAGCGUUAAUCGGAAUUACUGGGCGUAAAGCGCGCGUAGACGGUUUUGUAAGUCAGAUGUGAAAUCCCUGGGCUCAACCUGGGAACUGCAUUUGAGACUGCAUGGCUAGAGUAUCGAAGAGGGAAGUGGAAUUUCCGGUGUAGCGGUGAAAUGCGUAGAGAUCGGAAAGAACACCAACGGCGAAAGCACUCUGCUGGGCCGACACUGACACUGAGAGACGAAAGCUAGGGGAGCGAAUGGG
rnacentral:rRNA from 1 species